UAAGUGAAUAGUGAAAUCUGGUGGCCCAACCAUACAGGCUAUUAUUCAAACUGGCAAACUCGAGAGUGGUAGAGGUCACUGGAAUUUCUUGUGUAGGAGUGAAAUCCGUAGAUAUAAGAAGGAACACCGAUGGCGUAGGCAGGUGACUGGACCAUUUCUGACGCUAAGGGCACGAAAAGCGUGGGGGAGCGAACCGGAUUAGAUACCCGGGUAGUCCACGCCGUAAACGAUGGAUACUG
rnacentral:rRNA from 1 species